GAGCAAAAGCGUGUUAUUUGAUAACGUAAUUUUUGCAUUGAAGGUUGGCGAUAGUAAAACGAUUGCAGUUCUCCGUGCCUUGCAGAGUUUUGAUUCUGCAAACGGCCUCGAACAAUCUGCAACAUU
rnacentral:snoRNA from 1 species